rnacentral:rRNA from 1 species
UGGGGAAUUUUGGACAAUGGGCGAAAGCCUGAUCCAGCAAUGCCGCGUGUGUGAAGAAGGCCUUCGGGUUGUAAAGCACUUUUGUCCGGAAAGAAAUCCUUGGCUCUAAUACAGUCGGGGGAUGACGGUACCGGAAGAAUAAGCACCGGCUAACUACGUGCCAGCAGCCGCGGUAAUACGUAGGGUGCAAGCGUUAAUCGGAAUUACUGGGCGUAAAGCGUGCGCAGGCGGUUUGCUAAGACCGAUGUGAAAUCCCCGGGCUCAACCUGGGAACUGCAUUGGUGACUGGCAGGCUAGAGUAUGGCAGAGGGGGGUAGAAUUCCACGUGUAGCAGUGAAAUGCGUAGAGAUGUGGAGGAAUACCGAUGGCGAAGGCAGCCCCCUGGGCCAAUACUGACGCUCAUGCACGAAAGCGUGGGGAGCAAACAGGAUUAGAUACCCUGGUAGUCCACGCCCUAAGCGAUGUCAACUAGUUGUUGGGGAUUCAUUUCCUUAGUAACGUAGCUAACGCGUGAAGUUGACCGCCUGGGGAGUACGGUCGCAAGAUUAAAACUUAAAUGAAUUGACGGGGUCAUAGCUGUUUCCU